UACGUAGGGUGCAAGCGUUGUCCGGAAUUAUUGGGCGUAAAGGGCUCGUAGGCGGUUUGUCGCGUCUGCUGUGAAAACUCGGGGCUUAACUCCGGGCCUGCAGUGGGUACGGGCAGACUAGAGUGCGGUAGGGGAGACUGGAAUUCCUGGUGUAGCGGUGAAAUGCGCAGAUAUCAGGAGGAACACCGAUGGCGAAGGCAGCUCGCUGGGACGGUACUGACGCUGAGGCGCGAAAGCGUGGGGAGCAAACAGG
rnacentral:rRNA from 1 species